rnacentral:rRNA from 1 species
GAUGAACGCUGGCGGCGUGCCUAAUACAUGCAAGUCGAGCGAACGGACGAGAAGCUUGCUUCUCUGAUGUUAGCGGCGGACGGGUGAGUAACACGUGGAUAACCUACCUAUAAGACUGGGAUAACUUCGGGAAACCGUAGCUAAUACCGGAUAAUAUUUUGAACCGCAUGGUUCAAAAGUGAAAGACGGUCUUGCUGUCACUUAUAGAUGGAUCCGCGCUGCAUUAGCUAGUUGGUAAGGUAACGGCUUACCAAGGCAACGAUGCAUAGCCGACCUGAGAGGGUGAUCGGCCACACUGGAACGGAGACACGGUCCAGACUCCUACGGGAGGCAGCAGUAGGGAAUCUUCCGCAAUGGGCGAAAGCCUGACGGAGCAACGCCGCGUGAGAGAUGAAGGUCUUCGGAUCGUAAAACUCUGUUAUUAGGGAAGAACAUAUGUGUAAGGAACUGUGCACAUCUUGACGGUACCUAAACAGAAAGCCACGGCUAACUACGUG